AGAGUUUGAUUAUGCUCAGGACGAACGCUGGCGGCGUGCUUAACACAUGCAAGUCGAACGUGAUUUUUAAGGAAAGCCCUUCGGGGUGGGAAUUAAAAUGAAAGUGGCGAACGGGUGAGUAACACGUGAGCAACCUACCUUACACAGGGGGAUAGCCGUUGGAAACGACGAUUAAUACCGCAUGAGACCACAGAAUCGCAUGAUAUAGGGGUCAAAGAUUUAUCGGUGUAAGAAGGGCUCGCGUCUGAUUAGCUAGUUGGAAGGGUAAAGGCCUACCAAGGCGACGAUCAGUAGCCGGUCUGAGAGGAUGAACGGCCAUAUUGGAACUGAGACACGGUCCAA
rnacentral:rRNA from 1 species